rnacentral:lncRNA from 1 species
CUAAGAACCUCAUGCCUUCUUUCUCCAACCUACACACUUUCUCCUUGCCAAAGCCCCUUCCCUCACUGAAAAACUGGCGGGAUCUCUGCAGGCUCUGGAAAGACUUCCAGCUAUGGCACACACCACCAGCUCUGGAAGUCCCCACUUCCUGAAGACACUUUCGUGCCACUAAAAGGUCUAAACUUCAGUGGAGAGCCCCUGUACCUUUCCUACUCUGCGGCUGAGCACAAAGUAGCAAGACUAGGACCAUAGUUUCAAUUAUUGUCAGAAUGUUCCAUCAUCUUCUCUCUAGUGGCUUUGCAACAUUCAUAAUCCCUGUCCUCAGAGGGGAGGCCUCUGCCAAUUUGCAUGGCUGCUAUUUAAAGAUGAAACCCAAAAGCUGCUUUGAUAUUUCUUCUCCACAGCUGGAACCUCUGGCCUCUAAGGUAUUGAUCGAACCAGGAACCCUACAAUGCGUUUAAGUCCCUGCUUUUGUCAUCAAAAGGAUCAAGAAAGUUUGUCAUAGAAAGGUG